GUGCCACUCGGCCUUCUGGCUAAGAUAAGUGUAGUGUCUGUUCUUAUCAGCUUAAUAUCUGAUAGGUCCUUUAUUUGAGGACUGUAUAUUAAAUUGAUUUUUGAAACAAGGGGAGGUGGUGGAAUCUCCUUCCUUAGACAUUUUUAAGGUCAGGUUUGACAAAGCCCUGGCUGGGAUGAUUUAGUU